AUAUGCUGAGCACACUCAUCCGAGAUUCCCAGUCGGGGUACACAUAGGGUAUACGGCUAUAGGCCGCCCAGCUCUUCACACCCUUUCCCGGGAGCACGCAAUCUUCAAAUGUAUGUUCGCGAUGCGGGAUAAUAUUUCCAUAAGGUUACAUUUGUCAUUACAGCUGGAGUUGUGCCGGAAUUGAAGGGGACCGAUGAGGUUCUCAAGUGCAAGAACCCCAAGGACAUCGUUCCCAGAAACGGCAAGCUUGUGCUAUCCCUACGGACUAAUGAAGAAGUUGCGAGAAACCCGAAUACUCAUAGGCCGCAAGCUCUAUUUAAUAUACAAUACUCAACUAUCUGUACCUCCUGGUACACUCCCCCGUGAAGACCUCGAUUGGCUGUGGGAUGGAAGUCCGCACAGCGGGACCAGACAACGGCGGACAUACAAAAUCCCGAGCGCCAAGAAAGUUCUUCCGGCCGGGGUCGGGGCCAAAAAGAUGAGAGCCCUUCUUACAUGGACUCACUCACACGGGCACACGACUCCGGCAAAUCUUUUGCACAAACAUAAUUUUGAAACAGACACACGACUGGGGAAGAUUCGACCUGCCAGCCCCCUCGCAAACGGGAACAUCUUGGGAAAUCUGGGCAGCAAAUUGCAGGCAAUCCACGCAAAUGGCUUAGAACAACGGGUGGCAUUAAAGUCGAAAGGGCGGGGGCGUCGGCGGAUGAAAAGGGAGGGCUACUUGGCUGGGCGAAUAAUUUUUCGCGCAGCCCCAAAACUUUUCGCCCAGGACACCCCUAGUCCAAUGGCGUGCCAGGCAUAAAUCACGGCGAGCAUGGAGAAAAACUUGGAGCGAAGUUUAUCCCCCUGCCCGGGAACGGAGCCAACGGCGGAUCUGCGAAAUUUGUCUUGGCGUUCGGAUUUAUGUUUUUGCGACGCUUCUCGAAACAAACACUGAAGGAGAAAACGCCAAGGAGUGCGAGGCCUUGAUACACACUCGAAAACAAAUGGCCAACGUU